UACAGAGGUCUCAAGCGUUGUUCGGAUUCAUUGGGCGUAAAGGGUGCGUAGGUGGCGCUGUAAGUCGGGUGUGAAAUUUCGGAGCUUAACUCCGAAACUGCAUUCGAUACUGCGGUGCUUGAGGACUGGAGUGGAGACUGGAAUUCAUGGUGUAGCAGUGAAAUGCGUAGAGAUCAUGAGGAAGACCAGUGGCGAAGGCGGGUCUCUGGGCAGUAACUGACGCUGAGGAGCGAAAGCGUGGGGAGCGAACAGG
rnacentral:rRNA from 1 species